ensembl:lncRNA
GUUUUACCAUCCUACAACAGCAGCUCCCAGUGUGGUCGGAUGAGGCAUAAAGAAGCUGCCUGAGCUCUAUCAUUUCCUCAUGGAGCGAUCGGCUUUAUACCACAACUUGGAAUAUGAUUCAUCGGAGGAGAAGAAUCCCCGUCUGAUAUUCUAUAAUGAAAAGGACGAGGUUGUAAAGACUGUUCCCGUGAAGAAAAUGAAGGCGGACGAGAUCAGCAGCCUGUUGGAGUCUCUGGGUUUCUACAAGAGGUCCCAGAAAGGGGAAGAGGUGCCAGAGGAGUUCCAGCAUUUCCCCCUGCCAGCCCCCAGGGACGAGCUGUGAUGACACCUUGUGGCCAAACUCUGCUUCUGCACUUCCAGACCUGCAUUAAUGACGACUGGGGCCCAAAGGCUGGAACAGCAGCCAGGCCCCCCUCUGAGGACUCGCAGGCUGGGUGCAGAGUGCAGGGUGUUGCUCUGUCAUUGUGUUUAUUUACU